AUCGAGUGCAUGUGUACGGACGCGACCGGCGAACGGACUACGUAGCGGCUCGACCACAAAGUACCUGGCGUGGGCAUGCAGUGGCGGGCGCUGGGCUGCGCGGCCGCCACACGCAGCAGCGCCUCGCACACCGCGUGCAGCCCCCCGCCCUCGCCCGCCGCCACCCCCGCGCCGCACAGCACCGCCCGGAUCAGGCUGCAGCUCGUUUCCUUAGACCGCUCCGAGGUCACAUCUAUACACCGGGACGCUGCUACGUAUCCCUCGACCAUUAAGAUUCCUUAGUCGCCUCAUACUGCAUCCAUGGGAAAGGAAAGAUCAGCUAUGUCGGGACCACA